CACAGACAUACAGGCAAAA
rnacentral:piRNA from 1 species